rnacentral:rRNA from 1 species
GGGACGGGUGAGUAACACGUGGAUAACCUACCUAUAAGACUGGGAUAACUUCGGGAAACCGGAGCUAAUACCGGAUAAUAUAUUGAACCGCAUGGUUCAAUAGUGAAAGACGGUUUUGCUGUCACUUAUAGAUGGAUCCGCGCCGCAUUAGCUAGUUGGUAAGGUAACAGCUUACCAAGGCAACGAUGCGUAGCCGACCUGAGAGGGUGAUCGGCCACACUGGAACUGAGACACGGUCCAG